AUGGGGCUCGCCUUCCCCAUUGCUCAUCAUCACCUCGCGCUCACCCCUGCAUCGUUGUGUCCGUUCCUCCAAUUUUUGCUCCGCCCAUGCCAUGCCUGUUCCUCGCCGGAGGCCACUAGACAAGCUCUGCCCCAUCACUUGCGCGAGAGGAAGCCACGGCGGCGCGCCGCCGGCUGCCACGCUGUUGACUCCGGCGGUGGCUGCGGCACUCGCGAUGGCAUGCUCAGCUUCCUUGUCGGCGGCGAGGAGGCCAUCCUCGCAUGCCUCGGGCUGCUCUUUGCCCACCUUGGUCGACUUCAACACGGCCGAUGUGUGACGCUGACGCCUCGGCGUCUGCAAGGUGGAGCCCAGGCUGGAGGCCGCGCGUUCUGCCCUUGCGCGAUGGCUGCGACCUAUGCGCUGGUGAUUGGUGACGAGGAAGAAGAGGGUGGAGGGCAUGCCCUCGAAGAACCUGAUGGCAAAUCACCGCCGUCGCAAGCUACCUUGAUCAUCAAGAGCUGCAGUUCGAGGUGGAGCGCAAGCAAGGGCCGUGGUGAUACCCGGGUGGAGAUCUACAGUGCCGCCAAGCUGGGUCUGCUGCUAUCGACGUUCUCGCCGUCUUGGGUCCUCCUUGUGGCAUCCGUGUUGGUGUUGUUGGUCAUGCCCAUGGUUGGCGAGGUCCUCCUUGUGGCAUCCGUGUUGGUGUUGUUGGUCAUGCCCAUGGUUGGCGAGCUGCUGCUGAUGGUUGGAAUCCUGAUGGUCGUGCCCGUAGUUCUUCUAACCAUGGCUGAGUUGCUGCUGAUGGUUGGAACACCGCCGCCUUGUGAGGAUGCGGACGGCUUUGACGACGUCCACACCGUGUUCGUGCAGGGGCAUCACCGCCUCCGUGUGGAGUGA
rnacentral:rRNA from 1 species